GAUAAACGCUAGCGGCGUGCCUAAUGCAUGCAAGUCGAACGGUUUUUCGCAAGAUAAACAGUGGCAAACGGCUGAGUAAAACGUAAGCAACCUGUCCCUAAGUGGGGAAUAAUUCACCGAAAGGUGGACUAAUACCGCAUGUGGUAGUGGAGGUAGGUUUCCAUUACUAAAGCUUUCGGGCGCUUUGGGAGGGGCUUGCGACCUAUCAGGUAGUUGGUGAGGUAACGGCCCACCAAGCCUAUGACGGGUAGCUGGUUUUAGAGGACGUCCAGCCAGACGGGGACUGAGACACGGCCCCGACUCCUACGGGUGGCAG
rnacentral:rRNA from 1 species